AAAAACAUGUCCCCUUGUUUUAUUUAUUUGGGGUCUGGCCUGCCCAGUGAUUUAUUAAAUGGCCGCGGUAUUUUAACUGUGCUAAGGUAGCAUAAUCACUUGUCUUUUAAUUAAAGGCUAGAAUGAAUGGUUGGACGAAGUGUAAUCUUUCUUUGAUUUAAAUUAUUGAAUUUAAUUUUUCAGUUAAAAAGCUGAAAUGUUUUUGAGGGACGAGAAGACCCUAUAGAUCUUUAUAUAAGAAUUUUAUUAAUUUGUUUGGUGAAUUAUAUUUUUAGUAAUUUUUUUGUAUUUGGUUGGGGUGACUGUAGAAUAUUAAUAACUUCUAUUUUUGUUUAUCAUAAAUUAAUGUAUUUUUGAUCCAUUAUUAUUGAUUAAAAGAUUAAGUUACCUUAGGGAUAACAGCGUAAUUUUUACGGAGAGUUCUUAUUGAUGUAAAAGUUUGCGACCUCGAUGUUGGAUUAAAAUAAGUAAUGGGUGCAGUAGUUCAUUUACUAGGUCUGUUCGACCUUUAAUUUUUUACAUGAUCUGAGUU
rnacentral:rRNA from 1 species